GCGGGUGGAGCUGCUCGGUAGCUCGCGGGGCUCACAACCCAGAGGUCGCAGGUUCACAUCCUGUUACCCCGCU
rnacentral:tRNA from 1 species